UACGUAGGGAGCGAGCGUUGUCCGGAUUCAUUGGGCGUAAAGAGCUCGUAGGCGGCUUGGUAAGUCGGAUGUGAAACCUCCAGGCUCAACCUGGAGUCGCCAUCCGAUACUGCCAUGGCUAGAGUCCGGUAGGGGCCCACGGAAUUCCUGGUGUAGCGGUGGAAUGCGCAGAUAUCAGGAAGAACACCCGUGGCGAAGGCGGCUCUCUGGAACGCAACUGACGCUGAGACGCGAAAGCGUGGGGAGCAAACAGG
rnacentral:rRNA from 1 species